rnacentral:tRNA from 2 species
AAGGUUUUAAGUUAAUAAAACUAAUAGCCUUCAAAGCUGAAAAUAAAUUACCAAAUUUAAACCUUA